GAAUUCAUCUCCGGGGGUAGAGCACUGUUUCGGCUAGGGGGCCAUCCCGGCUUACCAACCCGAUGCAAACUGCGAAUACCGGAGAAUGUUAUCACGGGAGACACACGGCGGGUGCUAACGUCCGUCGUGAAGAGGGAAACAACCCAGACCGCCAGCUAAGGUCCCAAAGUCAUGGUUAAGUGGGAAACGAUGUGGGAAGGCCCAGACAGCCAGGAUGUUGGCUUAGAAGCAGCCAUCAUUUAAAGAAAGCGUAAUAGCUCACUGGUCGAGUCGGCCUGCGCGGAAGAUGUAACGGGGCUAAACCAUGCACCGAAGCUGCGGCAGCGACACUGUGUGUUGUUGGGUAGGGGAGCGUUCUGUAAGCCUGUGAAGGUGUGUCGUGAGGCAUGCUGGAGGUAUCAGAAGUGCGAAUGCUGACAUAAGUAACGAUAAAGCGGGUGAAAAGCCCGCUCGCCGGAAGACCAAGGGUUCCUGUCCAACGUUAAUCGGGGCAGGGUGAGUCGACCCCUAAGGCGAGGCCGAAAGGCGUAGUCGAUGGGAAACGGGUUAAUAUUCCCGUACUUGGUGUUACUGCGAAGGGGGGACGGAGAAGGCUAUGUUGGCCGGGCGACGGUUGUCCCGGUUUAAGCGUGUAGGUGUGUGUUCCAGGUAAAUCCGGUUCACUUUAACACUGAGGCGUGACGACGAGGCACUACGGUGCUGAAGCAACAAAUGCCCUGCUUCCAGGAAAAGCCUCUAAGCAUCAGGUAACAUCAAAUCGUACCCCAAACCGACACAGGUGGUCAGGUAGAGAAUACCAAGGCGCUUGAGAGAACUCGGGUGAAGGAACUAGGCAAAAUGGUGCCGUAACUUCGGGAGAAGGCACGCUGACACGUAGGUGAAGUGAUUUACUCAUGGAGCUGAAGUCAGUCGAAGAUACCAGCUGGCUGCAACUGUUUAUUAAAAACACAGCACUGUGCAAACACGAAAGUGGACGUAUACGGUGUGACGCCUGCCCGGUGCCGGAAGGUUAAUUGAUGGGGUCAGCGCAAGCGAAGCUCCUGAUCGAAGCCCCGGUAAACGGCGGCCGUAACUAUAACGGUCCUAAGGUAGCGAAAUUCCUUGUCGGGUAAGUUCCGACCUGCACGAAUGGCGUAAUGAUGGCCAGGCUGUCUCCACCCGAGACUCAGUGAAAUUGAACUCGCUGUGAAGAUGCAGUGUACCCGCGGCAAGACGGAAAGACCCCGUGAACCUUUACUAUAGCUUGACACUGAACAUUGAGCCUUGAUGUGUAGGAUAGGUGGGAGGCUUUGAAGCGUGGACGCCAGUCUGCGUGGAGCCGACCUUGAAAUACCACCCUUUAAUGUUU
rnacentral:rRNA from 1 species